AUUGAUAUACCUAUAUAACUGCUACUUGAAACCCAAAGCCACUUGUUUGCUGUCAAAAUUCCACCACCUCCACCACCACUAGAAUGUCAUCCCAAGACUCCCAACCAUUCCACUGGUACUCGAGUACAGAUCUCAACAACAAUGAUUUCGAGAUCCAUGGCCGCACUCUCUUCUUCAUCGUCAUCCUCUUCGCUGUAAUAGUCCUCAUCGCCAUCCUAUUCUGGGUUUGUCGCUGCCAACACCACCACUUCCCCUCACAUCCAUCACCCCACGCGCCACCCUAUCAGCCGCAGGAGCAGGGCCUUCAUCCCACCAAAAUUAAAUCUUUGCUGAUAACUCUGUACCAGUCAUCAUCUUCGUCUUCAGGUGGGAGCAAUGACGGCAAUAGUACUGUAUUUGUGGAAGGUGAGUGCUGCAUAUGUCUAGGAAUAUUUGAAGAUGGAGAUAAGGUUAAGGUGUUGCCGGAGUGCCACCAUUGUUUCCAUAGUGAGUGUGUUGAUAAGUGGCUUAUAGAUCGGUCUAGUUGCCCUCUCUGCAGGGCUUCCCUGCUUCAGGGUGACUCUGAAUCCCCUGUUCUCUCCAUCUUAGCAGAGUAAAUCACACUAAUUAACCCUUUUUCUUUAAUCUUGGGUUCUAAAAUUUUUGGAUCGUUAAUUAUGGAUAUUAUACCUG
rnacentral:misc_RNA from 1 species